CAGGACAAGGGGCAGUGGGCACAAACUGGAACACAG
rnacentral:miRNA from 7 species